rnacentral:tRNA from 1 species
GGGCACUUGGCACAGUUGGUAGCGCGCACGCUUCGCAUUACGAUCGAAUUCUGCGUGAGGUCGUGGGUUCAACUCCCACAGUGUCCA